rnacentral:rRNA from 1 species
UACAGAGGGGGCAAGCGUUGUUCGGAAUUACUGGGCGUAAAGGGCGCGUAGGCGGCCUGCUAAGUCGAACGUGAAAUCCCCGAGCUCAACUCGGGAACUGCGUCCGAUACUGACAGGCUUGAAUCCGGGAGAGGGAUGCGGAAUUCCAGGUGUAGCGGUGAAAUGCGCAGAUAUCAGGAGGAACACCGGUGGCGAAGGCGGAUCUCUGGGCCGAUACUGACGCUGAGGAGCGAAAGCGUGGGGAGCGAACAGG